rnacentral:lncRNA from 1 species
CAAUAUGAACAACUUUCAUGUUCAUCAAAAUUUGAUUUGAAUCUUGGAAGGCCAUCUGUCAUUCCAAUACAUUAUAGGUCAUUUUGACUGAAACCCUAAUUUUUGGUCAACUUCCCAAGGACAUAACUCAUUCAUUUUUUAUGAUUUUGAGGUGAGAUCAAAUGUUAUGUUGAACAAAAUUUCAAAAUCUCAAAGGAAAUACCUGUGAUAAUGCAAGACAUUAUAG